rnacentral:rRNA from 1 species
CAGUAGCCACGGUAAAACGUAAGGGGCAAGCGUUAUCCGGAUUUACUGGGUGUAAAGGGAGCGCAGACGGCAAUGCAAGUCUGAAGUGAAAGGCGUGGGCUCAACCCACGAACUGCUUUGGAAACUGUAUAGCUUGAGUGUCGGAGGGGUAAGCGGAAUUCCUAGUGUAGCGGUGAAAUGCGUAGAUAUUAGGAGGAACACCGGAGGCGAAGGCGGCUUACUGGACGACAACUGACGUUGAGGCUCGAAAGCGUGGGUAGCGAACAGGAUUAGAUACCCCCGUAGUCCCUGUCUCUUAUAC